AUACGUAGGGGGCAAGCGUUAUCCGGAUUUACUGGGUGUAAAGGGAGCGCAGGCGGUCUGAUAAGUCAGAUGUGAAAGGCAAUGGCUCAACCAUUGUAAGCAUUUGAAACUGUCAGACUUGAGUUAAGGAGAGAAAAGUGGAAUUCCUAGUGUAGCGGGGAAAUGCGUAGAUAUUAGGAGGAAUACCAGUGGCGAAGGCGACUUUCUGGACUUAUACUGACGCUGAGGAACGAAAGCGUGGGGAGCAAACAGGAUUAGAUACCCUGGUAGUCCACGCCGUAAACGAUGAGUGCUAGGUGUUGGGGGUCAAACCUCGGUGCCGCAGCUAACGCAUUAAGCACUCCGCCUGGGGAGUACGUACGCAAGUAUGAAACUCAAAUGAAUUGACGGGG
rnacentral:rRNA from 1 species